CUGUAGUCUGUAAUGGACUGGCCUGAGGUCUCACUACAAACAAGCGUCUGCUGGAAGAGAGUAGGUGAGUUGUGUUUAGUCCCUUUGCUAAAGAAAUGAGUCAAAGUUAAAAAGAUGUUUGGUGUCUAGUACUAUGUCUGUGACCCUAUAUGUCCUGUUGAUGAAGUUAGGUGCUGUUCUGAGCAUUAUUUGUGGCUAUAGAUUGG